rnacentral:rRNA from 1 species
UACGUAGGGUGCGAGCGUUAAUCGGAAUUACUGGGCGUAAAGCGUGCGCAGGCGGUUUUGUAAGACAGGCGUGAAAUCCCCGGGCUCAACCUGGGAACUGCGCUUGUGACUGCAAGGCUAGAGUAUGGCAGAGGGGGGUGGAAUUCCACGUGUAGCAGUGAAAUGCGUAGAGAUGUGGAGGAACACCAAUGGCGAAGGCAGCCCCCUGGGCCAAUACUGACGCUCAUGCACGAAAGCGUGGGUAGCAAACAGGAUUAGAUACCCUAGUAGUCC